GAUAAUUCAAGUUGUAAAUUCAUUAAUUGUCUCAAUGAACUGGCAAAAUAUUCACAGAUACGUAUGUCAGAAGCAAUGCUAAAUCAAGAAAGAUAGAUCUUUUUAUACAAUGUUACGAGUCCAUGCAUAACAUAAUACAAGCUGCUAAUAUGCUGAUCCAGCAGGAAAACAGACGAGCAUGCAUGUCAGAAGGCAUUCCUGUUCAGGUAUAAGAAUCUCCAACACAUAAUAAGCAUAUAAUGAUGAAAGCAUCAGAUAUAGGCACUAUGAAACCGUUUUAACAAAAGUAUAUCUAAUUUCAUGUGGUAUGCCAUUUGUGAGCACCAUGCUUCACAACACUCUCCAGAAUGGCCCCAUAUUCAUAAAGAAUGAAUGAAUGCAAGACAUUCCCAGAUUGAAGAAGCCACUUCCUUAGAACCUGCCACCUCUUAAUCUAAACCCACGCUCUCCCCCAGCAUCCAUGAGCUCAUCAGCACCCAAUUUGGGAUGUGGAUAAUCCAAGUAGCAUUAAGCUUCUCUUAGGAAAAUAGACA
rnacentral:misc_RNA from 1 species